ACGCCCAGGCAUUUUCUUUUAAGGGUAAUUUAGGAAAUUGUUAUUAAUAAUUUAAUUAAUUGAUUAAUUAAUUUAAUAAAGUGGAAGAGGGGUAAAAGUGUAAUUUUACGAAUAAAUACCCUAGGUAUAAAUUAGAAAUUUUAUUCUUUCCCUUCUUUUCUGAAUAGAGUUCCUGUUCGCAGAAUUCCAGAGAACGUAAGGUUGGAGUCAGAUUUCAGGGUUGAAGAACAGAUCUCUAUAGGUGAAGAGUAGAUUAUAUUUUUUUCAGAAUUAUUCUUCUCCCAAGCUUUCAAGGACUUCUUUUGAGGUACUCUUAGUUCGGGUGAGGAGUGAUGGCUAGGCUGAGGAAUGGUCAUCAUUAGGAUUUGACUUAGGAUUUUAUGUUGGAUUUUGUUUAACUAUUAGUUAUGUUAUUUUGGAUCAUUUGGUAUUUCGAAGUUAUUUGGAAAUUGAAUUUUGAGGAGUUUAGAUUUUGUUUCCGCUACUCUGAGCAGGUAUUUGGUAAUUGGUAACAUCCAGUUACAAUAUGAUUGUUUGGGUCAGAUUAUACUUUAAGCCUUCGGGUUUGAGGUGUGAAAUGACCGUC